rnacentral:rRNA from 1 species
CGUGCGGGGGCUACUACAUGCAGUCGAGCGAGCUGAAUUCAAAGAUCCCUUCGGGGUGAUUUGUUGGACGCUAACGGCGGAUGGGUGAGUAACACGUGGGCAAUCUGCCCUAAAGACUGGGAUACCACUUGGAAACAGGUGCUAAUACCGGAUAACAACAUGAAUCGCAUGAUUCAAGUUUGAAAGGCGGCGCAAGCUGUCACUUUAGGAUGAGCCCGCGGCGCAUUAGCUAGUUGGUGGGGUAAAGGCCUACCAAGGCAAUGAUGCGUAGCCGAGUUGAGAGACUGAUCGGCCACAUUGGGACUGAGACACGGCCCAAACUCCUACGGGAGGCAGCAGUAGGGAAUCUUCCACAAUGGACGCAAGUCUGAUGGAGCAACGCCGCGUGAGUGAAGAAGGUCUUCGGAUCGUAAAGCUCUGUUGUUGGUGAAGAAGGAUAGAGGCAGUAACUGGUCUUUAUUUGACGGUAAUCAACCAGAAAGUCACGGCUAACUACGUGCCAGCAGCCGCGGAAAUACGUAGGUGGCAAGCGUUGUCCGGAUUUAUUGGGCGUAAACCGAUCGCAGGCGGAAAUGAUAAGUCUGAUGUGAAAGCCCAC